rnacentral:rRNA from 1 species
UGCGCAGGCGGGGAUGUAAGUCAGUGGUGAAAUACUGCCGCUCAACGGUAGAACUGCCAUUGAUACUGCAUCUCUUGAGUAUGGUUGAGGUAGGCGGAAUGUGUUGUGUAGCGGUGAAAUGCAUAGAUAUGACACAGAACACCGAUUGCGAAGGCAGCUUACUAAGCCAUUACUGACGCUGAGGCACGAAAGCGUGGGUAGCGAACAGGAUUAGAUACCCUGGUAGUCC